GCCUGGCUUGCCUGUAGUCACAGCUACUUGAGAGGCUGAGGUAAGAGGAUUGUUUGAGCCCAGGAGUUCUGGACUGUGGUGAACUAUGCUGAUCGGAUGUUUCACUAAGUUUGGCAUUGAUAUGGUGACCUCCAGGGAGUGACUGGGGGACUACUAGGUUGCCUAGGGAGGAGAGUGAACUGGUCCAGGUUGGAAAUGAAGCAGUUCAAAACUUCCACACUGAUCAGUAGUGGGAUUGCACCUGUGAAUAGCCACCGCACUCCAGCCUGGGCAACAUAGUGAGACCCUGUCCUU
rnacentral:SRP_RNA from 1 species